rfam:Brachypodium distachyon strain Bd21 chromosome 1, whole genome shotgun sequence.
UAACUACUCCCUCCGUUCCAUAAUUCUUGUCUCAAAUUUGCCUAAAAAUGGAUUCAUCUAUUCCUAAAAGGUGUCUAGAUACAUGUAAUAUUUCGACAAGAAUUAUGGAACGGAGGGAGUACCUC